UAGGGAAUCUUCGGCAAUGGACGAAAGUCUGACCGAGCAACGCCGCGUGAGUGAAGAAGGUUUUCGGAUCGUAAAACUCUGUUGUUAGAGAAGAACGUUGUGUAGAGUGGAAAAUUACACAAGUGACGGUAUCUAACCAGAAAGGGACGGCUAACUACGUGCCAGCAGCCGCGGUAAUACGUAGGUCCCGAGCGUUGUCCGGAUUUAUUGGGCGUAAAGCGAGCGCAGGUGGUUUAAUAAGUCUGAUGUAAAAGGCAGUGGCUCAACCAUUGUGUGCAUUGGAAACUGUUAGACUUGAGUGCAGUAGAGGAGAGUGGAAUUCCAUGUGUAGCGGUGAAAUGCGUAGAUAUAUGGAGGAACACCGGUGGCGAAAGCGGCUCUCUGGACUGUAACUGACACUGAGGCUCGAAAGCGUGGGUAGCAAACAGG
rnacentral:rRNA from 1 species